UAUCCAAAACUUCCAUCCUAUCUUUCCAAAUUAUUGUUGUCAUGUGCAACUUAUACUUUUUUAACAAUUCAUUAAACAGAUUUCACUUUUGAGUAAAGUCUAAAUUAUAGAGCUCCAAUUUUCUACUUCUAAUAAUUUUUGCUUUACCGAUCGUCUCCGGUACAAAUGGCUAAAUAGUUGAUAUCCGAAAUUUAAAGUUCAAAACCUAAUCGCUUCACAUUUUCAAUUAAAUUUAUUUAAAAAAAAAAUAAAGUAGUGACAUGCUAUUAUUUGUUUUUGUAAGGGAUAA
rnacentral:lncRNA from 1 species